rnacentral:rRNA from 1 species
GACGAACGCUGGCGGCGUGCCUAAUACAUGCAAGUAGAACGCUGAAGAGAGGAGCUUGCUCUUCUUGGAUGAGUUGCGAACGGGUGAGUAACGCGUAGGUAACCUGCCUUGUAGCGGGGGAUAACUAUUGGAAACGAUAGCUAAUACCGCAUAACAAUGGAUUACCCAUGUCAUUUAUUUGAAAGUGGCAAAUGCUCCACUACAAGAUGGACCUGCGUUGUAUUAGCUAGUAGGUGAGGUAACGGCUCACCUAGGCGACGAUACAUAGCCGACCUGAGAGGGUGAUCGGCCACACUGGGACUGUGACACGGCCCAGACUCAUACGGGAGGCAGCAGUAGGGAAUCUUCGGCAAUGGGGGCAACCCUGACCGAGCAACGCCGCGUGAGUGAAGAAGGGUUUCGGAUCGUAAAGCUCUGUUGUAAGUCAAGAAUGAGUGUGAGAGUGGAAAGUUCACACUGUGACGGUAGCUUACCAGAAAGGGACGGCUAACUACGUG